GCCUCGGCCUGGGCGGAGCCGCUGGCGGCCGGCGCCCUGCGCCCUUGCAGCAGGACUUCUCCACCGUGAUCGCCACCAGGCUCGCCGAGAAGCCGCAGAGCCGCCCCACGAACCACCAUCUGCCGGGGAACGAGGAUGAGGAGGAGCACACCCUACACUAUGAGGCGUACCUGGUACAAGUUCCAGGAUUAGGACCCUGCAUUGUCCUGGCUCCUCAGCAACAGACAUCAGGUGGGCACUACAGUGAGCACGCACUGGCGACGCCCCUGGGCCCUGUGUCGCUGAAGCCGUUCCAGCCGCAGCACCACCAGGACUUCCACGACCACGACCACGAC